rnacentral:rRNA from 1 species
AACGAACGCUGGCGGCAGGCCUAACACAUGCAAGUCGAGCGCGCCCUUCGGGGUGAGCGGCGGACGGGUGAGUAACGCGUGGGAACGUGCCCUUUUCUACGGAAUAGCCUCGGGAAACUGAGAGUAAUACCGUAUACGCCCUUUUGGGGAAAGAUUUAUCGGAAAAGGAUCGGCCCGCGUUGGAUUAGGUAGUUGGUGGGGUAAUGGCCUACCAAGCCGACGAUCCAUAGCUGGUUUGAGAGGAUGAUCAGCCACACUGGGACUGAGACACGGCCCAGACUCCUACGGGAGGCAGCAGUGGGGAAUCUUAGACAAUGGGGGCAACCCUGAUCUAGCCAUGCCGCGUGAGUGAUGAAGGCCUUAGGGUUGUAAAGCUCUUUCAGCUGGGAAGAUAAUGACGGUACCAGCAGAAGAAGCCCCGGCUAACUCCGUG